UACGGGGGGGGCAAGCGUUGUUCGGAAUUACUGGGCGUAAAGGGCUCGUAGGCGGCCAACUAAGUCCGACGUGAAAUCCCAAGGCUUAACCUUGGAACUGCGUCGGAUACUGGAUGGCUUGAAUUCGGGAGAGGGAUGCAGAAUUCCAGGUGUAGCGGUGAAAUGCGUAGAUAUCUGGAGGAACACCGGUGGCGAAGGCGGCAUUCUGGACCGACAUUGACGCUGAGGAGCGAAAGCCAGGGGAGCAAACGGG
rnacentral:rRNA from 1 species